AUUGAACGCUGGCGGCAGGCCUAACACAUGCAAGUCGAACGAGUGGCGGACGGGUGAGUAAUGUCUGGGAAACUGCCCGAUGGCGGGGGAUAACUACUGGAAACGGUAGCUAAUACCGCAUACCAUCGGAUGUGCCCAGAUGGGAUUCGCUUGUCGGUGAGGUAACGGCUCACCUAGGCGACGAUCCCUAGCUGGGCUGAGAGGAGGACCAGCCACACUGGAACUGAGACACGGUCCAGAAUCCUACGGGAGGCAGCAGUGGGGAAUAUUGCACAAUGGGCGAAAGCCUGAUGCAGCCAUGCCGCGUGUAUGAAGAAGGCCUUCGGGUUGUAAAGUACUUUCAGCGGGGAGGCGUUACCAGCAGAAGAAGCACCGGCUAACUCCGUGCCAGCAGACGCGGUAAUAC
rnacentral:rRNA from 1 species